UUGCUCACAGUAAAAACUUCU
ensembl:piRNA 21ur-8522 ncRNA